AACAGUUCUAGAAAGUAUCUCACAAGCUCUCAAGACUUGUGUCAUUAUAGUUUGAUUCUUCUUAAAGCUCUGUUUAUGAAUCACAAAUCCUUUGACGUAACAGGACACAUGGAAAAUUCCAUUAAGCCGUCAAUAUCAAAUGUCCUCUGCAGUGGUUUUCUGUUCCUUCUGUAACAGACUGCCACAAAUUUUAUGAUGGAAAACAACACAUUUAAUAUCUUAAGAGUUCUGUAGGUCAGGAGUUUGACAAAGGUCUUGCUGGGGUAAGAUUAAGGUGUUGGCAGGGGACUCCUUUCAAUAGGUUCCAGGAGGGAAUCAGUUUCCUUGCCUUUCCCUUGCCUUGGCUCAUGGCCCCCUUUCUCUGUCUUCAAAGCCAGCAACAGCUGAUGGAGUUCACACAUUGCAUCACUCUGACCUCCUCCACUUUUUCCUUUUAUGUUUCUUUUGAGACAGAGUCUCACUCUGUCACUCAGGCUAGAGUGCAGUGGUGCAACCUUGGCUUACUGCAACUUCCACCUCCUGGGUUUAAGCGAUUCUCCUGCCUCAGCCUCCCUAGUAGCUGAGAUGAUAGGUAUCUGCCACCUUGCCUGGCUAAUUUUUGUGUUUUUAGUAGAGAUGGGGUUUCACCAUGUUGGCCAGCCUGGUCUCAAACUCCUGACCUCAGGUCAUCCAACACCUCACUUCCCAAAGUGCUAGGAUUACAGGUGUGAGCCACCGCACCUGGCCUAAUUUCUCGUAUUUUUAAUAGAGAUGGUGUUCCAUGGGCUGGGCAUGGUGGCACAUGCCUGUAAUCUCAGCACUUUGGGAGGCUGAGGUGGGAAGAUCACGAGGUUAGGACUUCGAGACCAGCCUGGCCAACAUGGUGAAACCCCGUCUCUACUAAAGAUACAGGAAAAAAAAAAAAUUAGCCAGGCCUGGUGGCCCAUUCCUGUAAUCCCAGUUACUUAGGAGGCUGAGGCAGGAGAAUCGCUUGAACCUGAGAGGCAGAGGCUGCAGUGAGCCAAGAUUGUGCCAUUGCACUCCAGCUUGGGCAACAGGGAGAGACUCUGUCUCAAAAACAAACAGAAAAAGAGAUGGAGUUUCGCCACAUUGCCCAGGCUGGUCUUGAACUCCUGGUCUCGAGUGAUCCACCUGCCUCAGCCUCCCAAAGUGCUGGGAUUACAGGUGUGAGCCACUGUGCCUGCCCUUCCUCCCUCUGCUGUUUUAAGGUCUUUUUGGAUUACACUGGGCUCACCCAGAUAAUCUAGGAUACUCUCCCUGUUAUAGGGUCCUUACUUGAAUUGCAUCUGAAAAGUCCCUUUUGCCAUGUAAGGUAACAUACUCACAGAUUCUAGGGAUUGGGACAUGGAUAUCUUCGGGGGCCUUUAUUCUUCCUACCACUCCCUCUUUUUUGUCUUAGUCACUCUAUAUCAAACCCGAGUCAUCAUUACUGAAAUGUACCAAGAAAAGAUAAAUGAGGCAUAUUAAAUUUGGUGUGGACUUAACAACCAAGUGAGUCAAAUCAUAUGAUAAGUUAAUACUUAUUGAGUAUCUAUAUAUGCUAAUCACUGUAUAGCACAAGUGGUAUAAAGUAUGUUCCUUUUCCUCAAUAAUUUUACUACUUAGUUGAUGAAAAUAGAUAAAAUCUCAUAGGCCAGAUGUCAUGGCUCAUGCCUGUAAUCCUACCACAUCGGGAGGCCGAGGUAGGAGGAUCACUUAAGCCCAGCAAUUCAAGACCAGCCUGGGCAACAAAGUGGGAUCCCGUCUCUACAAGAAAAUAAAAAUUUAGCCAGGCAUGGUGGCAUGCAACUGCGGUCCCAGCUAUACUGGAGGCUGAGGCAGGAGGAUUGCACGAGCUCAGGAGGUCAAGGCUGGACUGAGCCAUGUUCAAGCUGUUGCACUCCAGCCUGGAAGACAGAGUGAGACCUUGUUUCAAAACAAAAACAAUAAAAAACUGAUGAGGCGAUUAUCAGGGAAAAAAAGGUAUGCUGAACUAUAAAGUGCUGACAUGCAGUGUGGUCUCAUCAAAAUCAGUUAUUAGAAGUUGUAGCAGUUAGGGGCACUCAGUUAAGCCUUGCAUCUCAGGUAGGACUUUGAAGUGUAAGGCAGGUCAGUUUAGGGGGAAAUGCAUGAGUUGAUUUUGGAAUGGGAAUGAAUGUGUUGUUUGUAGAGAACACCGAGAAGACAUUGGAAAAUGUAAUUUAUUCAGUUUCUUUCUUUUUCUUUUUUUUGAGAUGGAGUUUCGCUCUUGUUACCCAGGCCGGAGUGCAGUGGCGCAAUCUCGGCUCACCGCAACCUCCGCCUCCUGGGUUCAGGCAAUUCUCCUGCCUCAGCCUCCUGAGUAGCUGGGAUUACAGGCACAUGCCACCAUGCCCAGCUAAUUUUUGUAUUUUUAGUAGAGACGGGGUUUCACCAUGUUGACCAGGAUGGUCUCGAUCUAUUGACCUCGUGAUUCCACCCGCCUCGGCCUCCCAAAGUGCUGGGAUUACAGGCUUGAGCCACCGCGCCCGGCCAGUUUCUUUUUUUCUUCUUUGAGACGGAGACUCGCUCUGUCGCCCGGGCUGGAGUGCAGUGGCACCAUCUUGGCUCACGGUAACCUCUUGUCUCCUGGGUUCAGGCGAUUCUUAUGCCUCAGCCACCCUGGUAGCUGGUAUUACAGGCAUCCGCCACCAGGCCUGGCUAAUUUUUGUAUUUUUAGUAGAAAUGGGGUUUUACCAUGGUGGUCAGGCUUGUCUCAAACUCCUUUUCUCAAGUGAUCUGCCUGCCUCAGUGCACCCAAAGUGCUAGGAUUACAGGCGUGAGCCACUUCGUCUGGCCAUAAUAUAUUUAGUUUCCUAAUCAAACAAAUCAACAAUCUUCCCUAACUCAAUUUUUCUCCCACCCUCUUCACCACAUCCACUUGAUAGAGUCCUGAUGAGUGUUAUUUUCAAUAGCGAUGCCCUUCCUUGGGUUCCUCCUCCCACAUUCCUGAUUCUUCCUGAGCUCAGUGAGGUCAUCAUACUCUUGGCAGCAUUAUUAUUGUUUUUUUCUUUUUUUUUUUAAAGUUCCUUUUUUUUGUUGUUUGAGACAGAGUCUUGCUCUGUCUCCCAGGCUGGAGUGCAGUGGCGUGAUCUUGGCUCUCUGCAACCUCUGCCUCCCGGGUUCAAGCGAUUCUCCUGUCUUAGCUUUCUGAGUAGCUGGGAUUACAGGCAUCCGCCAUCAUGCCUGGCUAAUUUUUGUAUUUUCAGUAGAGAUAGGGUUUCAUCAUGUUGGCCAGAUUGGUCUCGAACUUCUGGCCUCAUGUGAUCCACCCGCCUUGGCCUCCCAAAGUGCUGGGAUUACAGGCGUAAACCAGCAGACCCGGCUGAGCAUUGCUAUUGUUUGGAUCAUUCUAGGUGUUAAAGGCAUAUUUCCAAAGAUCUGUAGGAUUUUGUUUUCUUUAUCCAUGUCAGCCUUGUGUUUAUUGGUCAUAUUCAAUUAGUUUUAAAAUUCUAAUCUUUAUACUGCUAAGAGAGUGUCAUCAUUCUGGCAAGGCAAACUGAAAUUCCACUUCAAAAUUAGCAGCUUUCACAUUAGAAGACUUAAGGUAAUUAUCGUAACUUCUAUAAGCAUGGAAAUAACUUUUAAUUUUGCAGCUUCAUCAGGACAGCUUGACUUUCUCAUUACUGGCAAAAGAUAACUUACUGAUUUGGAAAGCAUAUAGAGAGAUGUGUUAUCUUUGGACAUGUUAUGGUUAAUUAUUGAAGUAGUAUCUGGAGUCAUUUUGCUUUAAUCUACAUAUGAUAUAUGAGCUCGAGAUGAAAACUGAUGAAUUAAGUUUUGUCUGUUUCAUUCAACGUCAAAUUCUUUAACGUAUCAUUUUUCAUAUAGUGAAAAAAGAUUAAAUGGAGAGAGAUCACUUGGAUAUUUAAAUUCUUUCAUUCACAAAUUUUUCUUGAGUUUCCCCUUUGUGCUCAAGUGCUGGCGAUGCAAAAAUGAACAAAAUGCCAUCUCUGUCCUCGAGGUCCUCUUUAGGUAGCUGAAAGACAGACAAACUGGAAGUACCUAGUGGAAAGUCAUUUUUCAUAUUAAAAAGUCUCUAAAAUGGGCCAGGUGCAGUGGCUCAUGCCUGUAAUCCCAGCACUUUGGGAGGCCAAGAUGCAUAGAUUGCCUGAGGUCAGGAGUUUAAGACCAGCCUGGCCAACAAGGUGAAAUCCUGCCUUUACUAAAAAUACGAAAAUUAGCUGGACUUCAUGGUGGGUGCCUGUAAUCCCAGCUACUUGGGAGGCUGAGGCAGGAGAAUCACUUGAACCUCUGAGGCAGAGGUUACAGCGAGCCACUCCAACCUGGACAAUAAGAAUGAAACUCUGUCUCAAAAAAAAAAAAUCUCUAAAAUAAAAAUGCAUCUUACAGUACAUGGCAUGCUAUGGUUAAAUUGGCAGUUUAAUUAUAAUAUAAAAUAAUGAUACUUCUUGCAAUCAAUUGUGUCUUAUCUUCCAUGAAAUACAGAAUAAGUGAAUUUUAAUGACUGUAAAAUGCAUUGAACAGUUCUAGGAUCAUAGCAAGUACUCAGUAAAUGUUAGCUAUUAAUACUGUAAUUGAUGGUGAGUGCUUUGAUAGAUAUGUACUCAGUUUUUUAAGAAGAGCUAUUCACUCAACUGACGGGCUCAUGAAGGACUUCUAGAAAAGGUGGCAUUUGAAUUCAUUCCUGAAGAAAAAGAAUUUAGGAAAAAAUGUCUGGGUUUCUGGGCAGACAGCUAAACAUGGGCAUUGUUACAAAGAAGGGAUCCAUCAUGUCAUCUUGGGCACAGCAAGCAGGUCAUUGUGACUGGAUCAGAGGGUACAUGGAGUGACAUGGCAGAAGACCAGGCAAGCGAUGGAUGCAAGGCCAGAGGAUGAAGAGCUUCUUCUUUGGGGCCAUGGAGUUUCCUUUAUUUAUAAAGUCAUAGGGAGCCAUUGACAUAUUAAAGUAGACUUGAUAAGGUAGCUCAUGCCCGUAAUCCCAGCACUUUGGGAGGCCGAGGUGGGAGGAUUGCUUGAGCCCAGGAGUUCGAGACCUCGUCUCUACUAAAAAUAAUAAAUUAGGUGUGGUGGCGCGUGCUUGUAGUCCCAGCUACGUGGGAGACUUGGAAGGCUCAAGAGCAUCUCUUGAGUCCAGCAGUUCAAGGUUGCAGUGUGCUAUGAUCACACCACUGUACUCCAGCCUGGGCAACAGAUUGAGACCCUUUCUCAAAGAAAAAGAGGGAUUAAAGUAGAAGACUAGCAGUGAGCUUUGCAUCUCAUAAAGUUUCUUCCACAUUUUUUCUUUCACAUCCAUGUGGAGGAUGUAUUGAGAGGCAAAAAUGCAGAAAAGGAGGCUGGUACGGAGUUCUCAGCAGCUUGCAGUGAUGCAGGUGAGAAACACUUAGGCCUGAGCCAGGGGAUUAACUGUCACUGGAGAGGAGAGGCAGUAGCUACCCAAGGCACAAAGAAGGUGGAAUCACCCAAACAUUUGUCAGAUUGAGGGUGAGGGGGCUUUAGAACUCCAAGAUUAUCCUCAGGUUUCUGCCUUUGGUGCCUUUAAAAAUUUUAAUCAAAGUUGAGAAUUUACUCUAUGCUGGGCACUCUAUAAAAGGCUUUAUCCUUACUGUGUCUGUUAAUCCUUGCAACAACCCUAUGAGAUGUAUUUUUACCCUCAUUUGAUGAAUACCUGAAACUCAGAGAGCUCGGAGGCCUUGCCUGAGGUUACCAGCAGCUCCACUUCUGUCUGUAAUCAGUGACAGGUUCCCAUUGCACACAGCGUGUCAUGCAGGUAGAAGUUUAAAAAUCCAGAGCUGCAUCUUUGCUUUCCAGGCCAGACAUGGUCAGAUUCCCUGUUUUCCCUUUACAACGUCUUUCAUCCUCCUUCUCAUCUUAGAUGAUCUACUUCAGGUAAGUAAACUAUUCAUGCUGGUCACUGUUCCCUCAGUCACCUUACUCGUUUUCAGCUUUGCCUGUGGCUUUGCACACGCACCCCAUUUGUCUCAGUCACAUCAGAGCCCCUGGUUGCUGAUGGUGCGCUCAGUGUGUGCCAGGCAUGGUGCUGAGUGCUCAGUGUGUGCCAGGCAUGGUCCUGGGUGCUCGGUGUGUGCCAGACAUGGUGCUGGGUGCUCAGUGCGUGCCAGGCAUGAUCCUGGGUGCUCAGUGUGUGCCAGGUACAGUGCUGAAUGCUCAGUAUAUGCCAGGCACGGUGCUGGGUGCUCAGUGUGUGCCAGGCAUGAUCCUGGGUGCUCAGUGUGUGCCAGGUACAGUGCUGGAUGCUCAGCAAGUGCCAGGCACAGUGCUGAAUGCUCAGUAUAUGCCAGGCACGGUGCUGAGUGCUUUCCAACUGUGUCUCCUGGCAGCACUGAGAAGAGGAUGUUCAGGUUCCCAUUUUACACAAGAGGAAGCCAAGGCUUAGGGAGCUUUAAACAAGUUGCCCAAGGCCAGACAACUAGUAGGUGGCAGAGAUUUCAACUGAGGACUGUUAGGUUUUCAAAAAGCUCCAUGUAUAUCAUCACAAUGAAGAUGAGGAAAAAGAAAAAAGCUCCAGGUUUUUGUCUCCUUUAAAGUCCAGAAGAAGUACUGCCUCCUCCAUGAGGCAUUUUCUUACCAUUCUUGCCAAAGAUGUCUUGUGCUCCUCCAAACUAUAAAAAAGUAUAUAUAUUUAAAAUAUAUUUAAAAACAUAUAUAUAUGUUUUUCGUCUUUUUUUAUUGAGACAGGGUUUCACUCCGUUGCCCAGGCUGAAGUGCACUAGCAUGAUCGUGGCUCACUGCAGCUUUGAACACCUCAGCUCAAAAAAUCCUCUGCCUCAGCCUCCUGAGUAGCUGGGAUCACAGAUGCUGACGGAAAGUUAAGUGUGAAAUUUGGGGUCCUCUUCCGAGACGACAAAUGUGCCAACCUCUUUGAAGCAUUGGUCGGAACUCUCAAAGCCGCAAAACGAAGGAAGAUUGUAACGUAUCCAGGAGAGCUGCUUCUGCAGGGUGUUCAUGAUGAUGUUGACAUUGUAUUGCUGCAAGAUUAAUGUGGCUCACCUGUCUCGAUGUACUGCCAUUUUUCGUGUCUGGUAAACUGGAUAUAAAGUGAAAGAACAAACAUUUGAGCAUACUUAAUGUGUUUUUAUAGAACUUUGUAAGCAAAAGGAGACUCAUGUUUUAGAAGUCUGGUUUUUUUUAUAUCUUGAAAGAAAAUUUAUGUAUGGCACUAUAAAAUAAACAAAUCCUAUUAUUUUUCUCAGGAAUCUGGUUGGGAAUUGUAGGGAGUGAGAUUUUUUGGAGGGGGGACAGGGGAAUGUUUGUUUCAUAUAUAAUUAGACAUUUUCUAUAGAUACUUGACAUUCUGCAAAAGCAACAAGCAAACCGAAGACCAACUCCUAUGAGAAAUAUUAUUGUAAUCAAGACAUGUAACUGUCUUAAAAUU